AACCUAGCACACCUGCGGUGUGUACCUGCGGAAGGAUCAUUACCUAGAGUUGUAGGCUUUGCCUGCUAUCUCUUACCCAUGUCUUUUGAGUACCUUACGUUUCCUCGGUGGGUUCGCCCGCCGGUUGGACAAAACUUAAACCCUUUGUAGUUGCAAUCAGCGUCUGAAAAAACUUAACAGUUACAACUUUUAACAAUGGAUCU
rnacentral:misc_RNA from 1 species